GUUGGGGGGAAAACCGGAGGUUUUGGGAGGGACUUUUGAGGGAGGGGGAACAGGACCAGAAGACUCACGGAGUUUGCUGAGGAGGUGUUUCGGAGGAGGAGGGGCUUGCAGUAGCCCAUUUUUCUCGCCGUGUGGUAGCGGCGUAGAAUACUGCCACAGCUCCCCAUAGCUUGUCGUAGGAGGCGACUAAUAUGGCAAGGUUACCCAUCCGAGCUUGUCGGAGCUAAAGGGGUGGGUCACCGAGCCCACAAACUUCGGUACCACGGGUUGGAUAGUGUCCAAGCACUACCAUUUGAGGUAGGCCCCCUUGUGGGAGUAUCGUGGUGGCUGUGGUUGAUACCCAAAUCGCGGGUAGAGUCCUCGGACUCGACGUGGAGUUGCGUUAUACAACUCGGGCGCUGUGACCCAUAGAUCAGUAGAGGUGAUAGAUACACUUCGCUCCUCACCAAGGGGAAGUAUUCUGUCCGACUCGCAGAUACUUAAAUUGGUACCGGGCUAGUUGCUAUGUAUUUGCUAUAGCUUCUAUUCCGGGGCGUUGGCAGGCGUACCAUCCGUGCCCAUGCACUAUAUGCCUACUCGUAGGUAUAUUCGAGUGCCGUGGUUGUAAUCCCUUCAGUGUGGAACACGCCACGUUAAACAAGAUCGGAGAGAUCCGAGACAUACACACCUGUCCCUAUCUACUAUCUAGCGAAACCACAGCCAAGGGAACGGGCUUGGAAUAAUUAGCGGGGAAAGAAGACCCUUUUGAGCUUGACUCUAAUCUGGCAGUGUAAGGAGACAUAAGAGGUGUAGAAUAAGUGGGAGAUAUUAGACUUCGGUUUGGUAUCGCCAAUGAAAUACCACUACUCUUAUUGUUUCCUUACUUACUUGAUUAAAUGGAACGUGUAUCAUUUCCUAGCCAUUAUACGGAUAUAUUUAUUAUAUCUUAUGGUAUUGGGUUUUGAUGCAAGCUUCUUGAUCAAAGUAUCACGAGUUUGUUAUAUAAUCGCAAACAAAUUCUUUAAUGAGAGAUGCAUUUACUGUAUUAUUGAUUUGAAAAUUUGGUAUAACUCCAAUUACUCAGGUAUGAUCCAAUUCAAGGACAUUGCCAGGUAGGGAGUUUGACUGGGGCGGUACAUCUCUCAAAUAAUAACGGAGGUGUCCCAAGGCCAGCUCAGUGCGGACAGAAACCACACAUAGAGCAAAAGGGCAAAUGCUGACUUGAUCUCGGUGUUCAGUACACACAGGGACAGCAAAAGCUCGGCCUAUCGAUCCUUUUGGUUUAAAGAGUUUUUAACAAGAGGUGUCAGAAAAGUUACCAUAGGGAUAACUGGCUUGUGGCGGCCAACCGUUAUAGCGACGUCCCUUUUUGAUCCU
rnacentral:ncRNA from 1 species